GACGAACGCUGGCGGCGUGCCUAACACAUGCAAGUCGAGCGGAGUCAGUAAGAGGAAGUUUUCGGAUGGAAUCUUAUUGAUUUAGCGGCGGACGGGUGAGUAACACGUAAGGAACCUACCUAUAAGCGGGGGAUAACAUUCGGAAACGGGUGCUAAUACCGCAUAAUAUCUUCUUCCGCAUGGAAGAAGAUUGAAAGACGGCUCUGCUGUCACUUAUAGAUGACCUUGCGGUACAUUAGUUAGUUGGUGGGGUAACGGCCUACCAAGACGAUGAUGCAUAGCCGACCUGAGAGGGUGAUCGGCCACAAUGGGACUGAGACACGGCCCAAACUCCUACGGGAGGCAGCAGUAGGGAAUCUUCCGCAAUGGGCGAAAGCCUGACGGAGCAAUGCCGCGUGAGUGAAGAAGGCCUUCGGGUCGUAAAACUCUGUUAUAAGAGAAGAACAAAUUGUAGAGUAACUGCUACAGUCUUGACGGUAUCUUAUCAGAAAGCCACGGCUAACUACGUGCCAGCCGCCGCAGUAA
rnacentral:rRNA from 1 species